GAAGGCGGCUGAACUAGUCGCGAGAAGUCCCUGCGAAAGGAAAUGGCAACAGCCUGACAUUGGAAGCAAUAUAACGCCACGGGCAACAUUGAAUACGCAGUUGCAAUAGGACGCGGUACCUGCCCAUGCAUUCUGGAGGACUUCAAUCAAUCUUUAUGGAUUCUUGCGUUCGAACCGUGCAAACGUGUUAUAAGGAUGGUAUCAUGACGGGGGACAUGACUUGGGAUUCAUACAUUUCUUCUGCGAGGCGAUAGAGCCAGCGGAUUGCUUACUAGCAUGGCAUGUGAAUAAAGUACGUUUGGUUCUGU